AUGAAGAUAAGCGUAUUUGAUUAAAGAUGAAUACAGAACUUGUCGAACUUUUAAUAAACAGACCUUGGUCCAGCCACAACAGAGGGCCGCAAUAAUGCCAAAGUGUAGACACAUUAAAACAUAAGGUCAACAAAGCAUAUAGCCCUCACGAAUUUCUGCUUGAAGCAGCAACCAUGUCCAAAUAAUUUUAAAAAUUAACUCCUAAUUUCAAGAAACGCAUUUCACACAUACUAGAUCUUGCUCUUCAAGUUACGUGACUAAUUGGUGGA